UGGGGAAUAUUGCACAAUGGGGGAAACCCUGAUGCAGCGACGCCGCGUGAGCGAAGAAGGCUUUCGAGUCGUAAAGCUCUGUCCUAUGAGAAGAUAAUGACGGUAUCAUAGGAGGAAGCCCUGGCUAAAUACGUGCCAGCAGCCGCGGUAAUACGUAUGGGGCGAGCGUUGUCCGGAAUUAUUGGGCGUAAAGGGUACGUAGGCGGUUUUUUAAGUCAGGUGUGAAAGCGUGAGGCUUAACCUCAUUAAGCACUUGAAACUGAUAGACUUGAGUGAAGGAGAGGAAAGUGGAAUUCCUAGUGUAGCGGUGAAAUGCGUAGAUAUUAGGAGGAAUACCGGUGGCGAAGGCGACUUUCUGGACUUUUACUGACGCUCAGGUACGAAAGCGUGGGGAGCAAACAGG
rnacentral:rRNA from 1 species